UACGUAGGGGGCAAGCGUUGUCCGGAAUCAUUGGGCGUAAAGCGCGUGUAGGCGGUCCGGUAAGUCGGUUGUGAAAGUCCAGGGCUCAACCCUGGGAUGCCGAUCGAUACUGCCGGACUAGAGUCCGGAAGAGGCGAGUGGAAAUUCCCCGGUGUAGCGGUGAAAAUGCGCAGAUAUCGGGAGGAACACCAAUGGCGAAGGCAGCUCGCUGGGACGGUAUGACGCUGAGACGCGAAAAAGCGUGGGGGAGCAAACAGGGAUUUAGAAA
rnacentral:rRNA from 1 species